GACGGUGAAAGUCCAGAAAGCUCUGGUUCAUCUUGCCAGCUCUGCAGCAAGACCAUGCCACACCUGACUUCAGGAAGGCUGGAUAGCAACAAUACCCAUGAUGGCUGGGGCUUAAGUCCCAUGAGUUUGCAGACCCAGAAUCUCUCAGUUUUCGGCGGACACAACAUCUUUGUAUGUGGUGCUGAGGAUCGAACCCGGGCCGCACGCAUGCCAGGCGAGCGCGCUACCACUUGAGCCACAUCCCCAGCCCACAUUAAAACAUUUUUAAGAAGAAA